rnacentral:rRNA from 1 species
CGAAAGCCUGACGGAGCAAUACCGCGUGCGGGAGGACGCUUUUUGGAGUGUAAACCGCUUUUCUCAAGGAAGAUGAUGACGGUACUUGAGGAAUCAGCAUCGGCUAACUUCGUGCCAGCAGCCGCGGUAAUACGAGGGAUGCAAGCGUUAUCCGGAAUUAUUGGGCGUAAAGCGUCCGCAGGUGGCGAUUCAAGUCUGCUGUCAAAGCACGGGGCUUAACUCCGUAAAGGCAGUGGAAACUGAAUAGCUAGAGUGCCGUAGGGGUAGAGGGAAUUCCCGGUGUAGCGGUGAAAUGCGUAGAGAUCGGGAAGAACAUCGGUGGCGAAAGCGCUCUACUGGACGGCAACUGACACUCAGGGACGAAAGCUAGGGGAGCG